UAUAGGAUGCUAGAAGGCAACAAUUCUUUCCAUCUAGAAAUGUCUUUUCCUCAGUGACUGGAUCAGUUUGUCUUUGGGACUUCUUCAGGGCUCCCUCUGACCAUGCCGGCCACUCUCCCUAUGGGUCAACUCCCUGCGGCUUCUCAUCCUGGCCCCUGUCAACAUCUACAUCAUUUAAAGCUUUGAACCAGCCCCAGGGACUGGGUGAGGGACAGAACAGCAGUUGUGAAACGACCAUUUAUUGAGGGGCCUUCCUUCCAAAGAACCCAGACCUCAGGCAGGCCAGAAGGAUGUUCUGCCGCUUUACCUCACCCGCAACCCAAGAAAAAGGACAGACGCAAUGGCUCUGAGCAAGACCAGCUCGAACUUGGAUGUGGAAGCGCAGAAGCAGCUCUCUAGGUUCAUAAACAGUCUGCCACCCCAGCCAGGGCCAGACGAUUGCACGGAG